rnacentral:rRNA from 1 species
UACGAAGGGGGCUAGCGUUGCUCGGAAUUACUGGGCGUAAAGCGCACGUAGGCGGCUUUCUAAGUCGGGGGUGAAAUCCUGGAGCUCAACUCCAGAACUGCCUUCGAUACUGGAGAGCUCGAGUCCGGGAGAGGUGAGUGGAAUUCCCAGUGUAGAGGUGAAAUUCGUAGAUAUUGGGAAGAACACCGGUGGCGAAGGCGGCUCACUGGCUCGUAACUGACGCUCAUGCACGACAGCGUGGGGAUCAAACAGG